UACGAAGGGGGCUAGCGUUGUUCGGAAUUACUGGGCGUAAAGCGCACGUAGGCGGGUCGUUAAGUCAGGGGUGAAAUCCCGGAGCUCAACUCCGGAACUGCCUUUGAUACUGGCGAUCUAGAGGUCGAGAGAGGUGAGUGGAAUUCCGAGUGUAGAGGUGAAAUUCGUAGAUAUUCGCAAGAACACCAGUGGCGAAGGCGGCUCACUGGCCCGAUACUGACGCUGAGGCACGAAAGCGUGGGGAGCAAACAGG
rnacentral:rRNA from 1 species